GACCACUAGGGGUGCUUGGGCUUUGAUCAUAGUGCAAAGAUCUGGCAAUUAAUUAAUAAGAGUAAUUUGUUAAGAUGUUACACUACAAACUUAUAGUCAGUGUGUGUGUGUGUGUGUGUGUGAGUGUGUGUGUGUAUGUACAGUAUUGCUGGAGAUCAACUCUAGGCUGGUUACUAUCUUUAAUUUUACAGAAAACUCCUGUAAUAUAUGUCUAAAUUUUUUGCUUGAAUUAUCCAAUUUUUGAGUAUGUGUUUAUAGUUCAUGUGUUUAUAGCUUUGCUGUAUCAGUCAACUCUAACUGCUAUACCAAAUUACCAUAAAUUGGAUGACUAGACAACAAACAUUUUCGGAAGCUGGAAAUCCAAGAUCAGCAUAACUGAGUCCUGGUGAGGAUCCUCUGGCAUGAUAGCUGUUCUUAUAUUUUCUUUUAAGGGCAUGAAUCCUGUCAUAAGGGGUAUACCUUCAGACCAUAUUACCUUCUAAUAGCCCCACCUCCAAAUACCAUCACAAUGGAAAUUAAGAUUUAAUAUAUGAAUUUUUUUGGUAGGGGCAGAGACAUGCAACACAUAAGAAACACCUAUGAUGAAUUUAUACAUUAUUUUGCUGUAUUUGUAUAAUCUAUUGUUGUUAACUGCAAAUGCUAAGAGAAAUAGAUUUGAUUUCUUCCAACUGUCUCUUCAGGCAAUGACAGCAGAAUUGAUGUUCUCCUGGUUUCCCAGUGCAGAGGUCCAUCAACAAGAGAGAUGGUGUCAGGAUCUUCUAGAGCAUCCUCUGAUUACCUCUGUGACUAGAGGGUGCCUAAGCAAGUCAGAGAGUAUGCAGUUUUCCUGAAUCGAAGAAUUUGUCUCAGCACAGUGUCAAGAAACAGGAAGAUUUAAGGCUCACCCAAGCAUCAACUUAGAACUAAGGUAGGCUCUCUGACUCUUGAGGCUGCUGAAUGGUAGGAUUAAACAAACAUUUUAAAAAGGGGGGACUGUUACUGCCACUGAGCAAGAAUCAUAAAGGUAUGGUAAAUAUAGGAAAAUACAAGCUUACAUUUCAAUAUUUGAAAUAUGUGCUAUGGAUCUCUAUUUCUGGCUUUCCUUAUUAAUGGAGGGAAAAUGAAGUUUAACCUGUAAGAGAGAGGUCAAAAUGUUGAAUUAACUCAGAUGUGGAGAAAGUCUUUCCUGUCACAAACAUUCCCUGAUCACUUUUUGUGUACCAGACACAUAAAGUAGUAAAUUGCUUUCAGUGUGCUCAUGUCCCACCAGGGGAUACAGAACUUUGUAAAAUACACUCAGUGUAUAAAUACUAAUUCACUGAAAAAUAGAGAAAGUAUUAAUGUGGUGGGGAGGAUGAGAAAGAGGUGAAGUAACAAAAAAAAAGAAAUAGUAAAAUAAUUGAGAUUUUUUUUCUUGAUUGUGUUAUUUUAUUUUUAUUAAUUUAUUAAUUGUACACAUAUUAUUUUAUCUCUCUAUUUAAAAAAUUUGUUUUAUUUUACUAGUAUAUGUGUACAGUACAUGAUGUUUUCAUUCCUUGUGGGAAGUUGGCACAUGUACACAAUACACCUUAAUGACUUUUUCAUUACCUUUCUCUUCCCUCCCUCCCCCUCCCCCCAUCUCAUGAUCUUCCUCCCUUUGUUUUCUGGCACAUGUUUGCAGUACACAGUGUUUACAUUCCUUGUGUGGAGAUUUUCUAAGAAGGGUCCUUAAAGGGUGAAUGAAUAAGGUGAGUAGAAGUAUGGAUAACCAAUGUCACCUGUCAAUGCCACUGUGAUUGGUUUUAACAACGUUAGGACUAAAUGGGAAUCGCCAUCCAAAAGUCAAGGAAAUAGAUUGGUGUAAGUGCUUCAAAUACCGACUACAUUCACUCUAGUCUGUGACUUAGCCAAGCCUACAUGGCUAGUUCUAACCCAUGGGAUGUGAGAGGAAUUGCUGCUUGUCUCUUCUGGGGACAUUGGAUCUCUGACGGUCCCUUCCCAUUCCCUCCCCUCUUACUGUAUUGCUAGUGAGGAUGGUGACACCUAGAGGGUCUCUCUGAGGACUGCUUGGUUUGCAUCAGAUUCCGUGUCUGCAAAAAAUAAUCUUUUGUUGUUUUGAAUCACUAGUUUUGGUGUUAUGAAUUGCAACAGUUAGCCCUACCAUGAGUAGUAUAAAAAUGCAAAUAAUAUCUGCUCUAUUUUUUCCACAGUUUUUGAGACCCUCACACAUAACAGUACAUGUGAAAAGUGUUAUAAACUUUUUAGUACUAGCUCAGUAUGGUGGUGCACUCCUGCAACCCAGCACUCUGGGUGGCUGAGGCAAGAAGAUGAAAAGCUCAAGCCCAGCUUGGGGGAAUUAAUGAGGCCCCAUGUCAAAAAUAAGAAUUUAAAAAAAUGGCUGUAGAUGUAUGAGGCGUGAUUGAAAAAU
rnacentral:lncRNA from 1 species